UUAUUUCAACUUAAAGCUUAAGGUCACCUGAGGCCACUCUGAUUGCUGCCUGGAAAGUGGAAGGAUUGAGUACAGCAGGAGUUCAAGGUGUGCUGACACAAGAGCCGGCCGGCAAGCAGGCUUCUGAUUCCACUCAACACAGCAGAGCCACUCCGUGCACCAUUUCUCGAUUGCCCAGGAAGAUUUUUCCUGAACAGCCUGAAAACCCAAGUGAGGCUGAAAGAUGCUGAGAGUGUCAACUUGAAGAUUAGGAAUAAUACACUUGCGCACACAGAGAGACACUAAGGGUGUGCACGCACAGAGAAAAGACCAUGCGAAGAGGCAACAAGAGGGCAGCCACCUGCAAGCCAAGAAGGAAAGACUUAGGAGAAACCAGGCCUGCUGAUGUCUUGUUCUUGGGCUUCUGGCUUCUAGAACUGUGCAAGAACUAGAUUCCUGUUGUUUAAAACCCCCUAGUUGUGGUACUUCAUCACAGCCGCCCUGGUAGACUAAACUUGUAUUUGUCUGUUCUCAUGCUGCUAAUAAAAACAUACCUGAGACUGGGUGAUUUGUAAAGGAAAGAAGUUUAAUGGACACAAAGUUCCACAUGGCUGCGGAGACCUCACAAUCAUGGUGGAAGGCAAAGGAGGAGCAAAGGCACAUCUUACAUGGUGGCAGGCAAGACACCUUGUGCAGGGGAACUCCCAUUUAUAAAACCAUCAGAUCUAAUGAGACGUAUUCACUACCACGAGAACAGUAUGGGGGAAACCUUUCCAAUGAUUCAAUUAUCUCCACCUGGCCCCACCCUUGACACAUGGGGAUUAUUAUCAUUCAAGUUGAGAUUUGGGUGGGGACACAGCCAAACUAUACCAAAAUCCUAUUCUCUUUUUGUCCUGCCAAUUUUUUCAGUAUUUACAAUUUGCCUUCCUAUAUACCAUAAUCUCCUACAAUAUUUCUGUCUUCUUCACAUGCAACAACUCCUUAAGUUGGUAUUUCUGUGUCUACUUCUAUGAAUUAAGAAACUAUUACAGCUGGUGAGCAGGAGAGCUGGUGCUAUAGACCGAGCAUUUGUCUCCCCAAAAUUCACAUAUUUGAAAUCCUAAUCCCCAAGGUAAUGGUAUUAGGAGGUAGGGGCCUUUGGCAGGUGAUUAGGUCAUGAGGGCAGAGCCCUGGUGAAUGGGAUUAGUGCCCUUACAAAAAGAGACCACAGAGAAUCCCCUGGGCCCUUCUACCAUGUGAGGACAUGGAGAGAAGGAGCCAUCACUGAACCAAGAAUUGAGCCCUCAUCAGACUGAAUCGGCCGGCUCCUUGAUCUUGGUCUUCUCAGUUUCCAGAACUGUGAGAAAUAAAUUUCUGUUGUUUAUAAGUCGCCCAGUCUACGGUAUUCUAUUACAGCAGACGGAACAGACUAAGCCAGCUGUCCUCCAACACAUGGUUACACAGCCCAAAUGCUUCUUGAUGCAUUGCACUGCUAAGUUAAGCUGGAGUGCAAAUAUGGAGAAGAACGUAAAUGCACAGGCAUGAGAUUCUGUAACUUGUCAUUAAACCACAGCUCCAAAGCUGAAGAGUAAUGUCAUUGUAAUUCACCAAUCUUUUUUUUUUUUUAUUAUUAAACUACCAUUCAUGCAGCCAGGGCGGUGCAGAUCCCUUCCUGAAAAAUUUUGACAACCUCCAAGUACCAUUCAGAAACAUGAAGGGCUCUCAGUGGGACCUUGUUAUUCUGAGCAUUAACACAAAGCCAUUUCACACAAUACAAUACAACUUGAUUUUGUAUGGCACCCCAUUCCAGUAGGGACCCCAGUGGAAAUUCAUGCAUCCUGUUUUUAAUCCUCCUGGAGUGAUUUAAUUUCAAACAUACAACUACUUUUGCUUAAUGCAACCUGCAUUUGAAGAAAGGUUCCUUCUUGACAACUUGAGUGAGAGGAUGACAAGGUCUUUAUUCUGACUGUGACUCAAUAGACCACAUUUUGCCUCUGAUGAGGGUAUAUGAAUACCACCUAGGGAGGGUGGUAUGAAUGGUACUUGGAGUUUGUCAAAAUUUUUCAUUUCCCCUCCUGUAUGAAGUACUUAUGGACUAAAAUUAUAGUAUUGAAUAACAACAAAAACUAUCAAAAUGACUUAAUAUUUUUUUCGUUUCCUUGAAAAUAAAAAUUCUGUUUACUCACCUAUUAUAGAAAGACAGCUUGGUCAAGUGGAGCCAACAGCAAGUUGUAAUUCUUGGUUUUUGCCCCAGGAAAAACUUUGCCAAGUUGUGUGACCUUAGGAGGAACAGCAUUUCUUCCCUCUGGAGGAUGUACCAUUCAGAGAACCACCUCAAAUGUGGAAACCAGGCCCUUGUCAGACACCAGACCUGAACACACCUUGACCCUGGAUUUCCUAGGCUCUAGAACUGUGAGAACGAAAUUUCUGUUUUUUAUAAAUUACCUAACCUCAGGACCUCUGUCAUCGCAGCAUAAAUGACCUAAGACAAGUAGACUAACAGAAUGAAUACAAGCAAGAUAUAAAAUAUUAGAGGGUUGCAUGGCACAUGGAAAAUGAUAACACUGAAUAACUACACAACUAAUAAUGAAUGUAAUUUGUAAUAACUACAAAACCUGUAUAAAUAAAGGUACCUAAGAAUUUUCCUAGCCGAGA
rnacentral:lncRNA from 1 species